UACGAAGGGGGCUAGCGUUGUUCGGAAUUACUGGGCGUAAAGCGUGCGCAGGCGGCUUCUCAAGUCAGGGGUGAAAGCCCAGAGCUCAACUCUGGAAUUGCCUUUGAGACUGAGUGGCUUGAGUACGAGAGAGGUGAGUGGAAUUCCCAGUGUAGAGGUGAAAUUCGUAGAUAUUGGGAAGAACACCGGUGGCGAAGGCGGCUCACUGGACCGGAACUGACGCUGAGGCGCGAAAGCGUGGGGAGCAAAGCGGG
rnacentral:rRNA from 1 species